rnacentral:rRNA from 1 species
AACGAACGCUGGCGGCGUGGAUUAGGCAUGCAAGUCGAACGAGAAAGGUUCCUUCGGGGACUGAGUACAGUGGCAAACGGGUGAGUAACGCGUGGGAAACUUGCCUUUCAGAUGGGGGAUAACACUUCCAACGAGGUGCUAAUACCGAAUACGAUCAUUGUAGUCGCAUGGCUAUAUGAUCAAAGGUGGCCUCUGAUUCAAGCUACCGCUGAAAGAUGGUCCCGCGUCCCAUUAGCUAGUUGGUGGGGUAAAAGCCUACCAAGGCGAUGAUGGGUAGCCGGCCUUAGCGGGUGUCCGGCCACACUGGGACUGAGAUACGGCCCAGACUCCUACGGGAGGCUG